rnacentral:rRNA from 1 species
GGGGGACCAUCCUCCAAGGCUAAAUACUCCUGACUGACCGAUAGUGAACCAGUACCGUGAGGGAAAGGCGAAAAGAACCCCGGCGAGGGGAGUGAAAAAGAACCUGAAACCGUGUACGUACAAGCAGUGGGAGCACCUUCGGGUGUGACUGCGUACCUUUUGUAUAAUGGGUCAGCGACUUAUAUUCUGUAGCAAGGUUAACCGUAUAGGGGAGCCGCAGGGAAACCGAGUCUUAACUGGGCGUUAAGUUGCAGG